UCCCUCCUAGCUCAGUCAGUAAAGAAUUUGCCUGCAAGGCAGGAGACCCAGGUUCGAUUCCUGGGUCAGGAA
rfam:TPA: Bos taurus chromosome 5, whole genome shotgun sequence.